AACGAACGCUGGCGGCAGGCUUAACACAUGCAAGUCGACCGCCCCGCAAGGGGAGUGGCAGACGGGUGAGUAACGCGUGGGAAUGUGCCCCAAGGUACGGAACAACACCGGGAAACUGGUGCGAAUACCGUAUGUGACCGAGCGGUGAAAGAUUUAUCGCCUUGGGAUCAGCCCGCGUUAGAUUGGCUAGAUGGUGAGGUAAUGGAUCACCAAGGCUACGGUCUAUAGCUGGUCUGCGAGGAUGAUCAGCCACACUGGGACUGAGACACGGCCCAGACUCCUACGGGAGGCAGCAGUGGGGAAUCUUGGACAAUGGGCGCAAGCCUGAUCCAGCCAUGCCGCGUGAAUGAUGAAGGCCUUAGGGUUGUAAAGUUCUUUCGUCGGGGACGAUAAUGACGGUACCCGAAGAAGAAGCCCCGGCUAACUUCGUGCCAGCAGCCGCAGUAA
rnacentral:rRNA from 1 species